rnacentral:rRNA from 1 species
AGCCAACGCUGGCGGUAGGCCUAACACAUGCAAGUCGAACGGCAGCACAGUAAGAGCUUGCUCUUACGGGUGGCGAGUGGCGGACGGGUGAGGAAUACAUCGGAAUCUACUUUUUCGUGGGGGAUAACGUAGGGAAACUUACGCUAAUACCGCAUACGACCUACGGGUGAAAGCAGGGGAUCUUCGGACCUUGCGCGAUUGAAUGAGCCGAUGUCGGAUUAGCUAGUUGGCGGGGUAAAGGCCCACCAAGGCGACGAUCCGUAGCUGGUCUGAGAGGAUGAUCAGCCACACUGGAACUGAGACACGGUCCAGACUCCUACGGGAGGCAGCAGUGGGGAAUAUUGGACAAUGGGCGCAAGCCUGAUCCAGCCAUACCGCGUGGGUGAAGAAGGCCUUCGGGUUGUAAAGCCCUUUUGUUGGGAAAGAAAAGCAGCAGGUUAAUACCCCGCUGUUCUGACGGUACCCAAAGAAUAAGCACCGGCUAACUUCGUG